rnacentral:rRNA from 1 species
AACGAACGCUGGCGGCGUGCCUAACACAUGCAAGUCGAGCGAGAAAGGGGGAGCAAUCCCCUGAGUAGAGCGGCGAACGGGUGAGUAACGCGUGGGCAAUCUGCCCUCCAGCCCGGGAUAACACCUCGAAAGGGUGCUAAUACCGGAUGACAUCAGCCCGGCGCAUGCCGGGCUGAUCAAAGGCGGCCUCUGCAUGCAAGCUGUCACUGGGGGANGAGCCUGCGUCCGAUUAGCUAGUUGGCGGGGUAACGCCCACCAAGGCUACGACGGGUAGCUGGUCU